GACCCCUCCGGUGGCCUAGUGGUUAGAGUGUCCGCCUCGGAUGAGGGAGGUCGCGGGUUUAGAACCCAGACUGGGUCA